GAUGAAGAACGUAGCGAAAUGCGAUAAGUAAUGUGAAUUGCAGAAUUCAGUGAAUCAUCGAAUCUUUGAACGCACAUUGCGCCCGCCAGUAUUCUGGCGGGCAUGCCUGUUCGAGCGUCAUUACAACCCUCAGGCCCCCGGGCCUGGCGUUGGGGAUCGGCGGAAGCCCCCUGCGGGCACAACGCCGUCCCCCAAAUACAGUGGCGGUCCCGCCGCAGCUUCCAUUGCGUAGUAGCUAACACCUCGCAACUGGAGAGCGGCGCGGCCACGCCGUAAAACACCCAACUUCUGAAUGCUGACCUCGAAUCAGGUAGGAAUACCCGCUGAACUUAAGCAUAUCAAUAAGCGGAGGA
rnacentral:misc_RNA from 1 species